rfam:TPA: Bos taurus chromosome 3, whole genome shotgun sequence.
UCCCUAGGGGCUCAGUGGUAAAGAAUCUGCCUGCAAUACAGAAGACCUGGGUUCAAUCCCUGGAUGGGGAA